AGCCGCGCGAACAAUCAAUUUGGCAAAUUAAAAAUUAGAUUAUAUGGUUCAAAACUUCAAAUCAUUAAAUUACAAUUCAACAAGUGAGAUGCUGAACUCAAAUGAACAGUGAGAAUAAGUGUCCCCACUGCACAGAAUGAGAGCAAGCCAACAAGAUACAAUGUUGCACACAUAAUAAUUUAUUACACGCAUCAAUUUACCCUCCAUGGUUUUUAGAAUUUCUCUAUUCACCAUCAACUACAAUGCUCACACGCUUUGAUGCAUGUAUGGUGUUCCUGUGAGUCAAUAUCAUUAAUAUAAACAGCCCGCCUCAUUUGUAAGUUCUUGAUAGCUCACUAUUUCACAGUAUCAUUAAUAUAAAAAAUAUAUCUUGCAAGUUUGCUCAAUUCUAAACAUAAAU
rnacentral:misc_RNA from 1 species